GACGAACGCUGGCGGCGUGCCUAAUACAUGCAAGUCGAGCGAGUCUGCCUUGAAGAUCGGAGUGCUUGCACUCUGUGAAACAAGAUACAGGCUAGCGGCGGACGGGUGAGUAACACGUGGGUAACCUGCCCAAGAGAUCGGGAUAACACCUGGAAACAGAUGCUAAUACCGGAUAACAACAGAUGAUGCCUAUCAACUGUUUAAAAGAUGGUUCUGCUAUCACUCUUGGAUGGACCUGCGGUGCAUUAGCUAGUUGGUAGGGUAACGGCCUACCAAGGCGAUGAUGCAUAGCCGAGUUGAGAGACUGAUCGGCCACAUUGGGACUGAGACACGGCCCAAACUCCUACGGGAGGCAGCAGUAGGGAAUCUUCCACAAUGGACGCGAGUCUGAUGGAGCAACGCCGCGUGAGUGAAGAAGGGUUUCGGCUCGUAAAGCUCUGUUGUUGGUGAAGAAGGACAGGGGUAGUAACUGACCUUUGUUUGACGGUAAUCAAUGAGAAAGUCACGGCUAACUACGUG
rnacentral:rRNA from 1 species